rnacentral:rRNA from 1 species
AUAAUGGGUCAGCGACUUAUAUUCUGUAGCAAGGUUAACCGAAUAGGGGAGCCGAAGGGAAACCGAGUCUUAACUGGGCGUUAAGUUGCAGGGUAUAGACCCGAAACCCGGUGAUCUAGCCAUGGGCAGGUUGAAGGUUGGGUAACACUAACUGGAGGACCGAACCGACUAAUGUUGAAAAAUUAGCGGAUGACUUGUGGCUGGGGGUGAAAGGCCAAUCAAACCGGGAGAUAGCUGGUUCUCCCCGAAAGCUAUUUAGGUAGCGCCUCGUGAAUUCAUCUCCGGGGGUAGAGCACUGUUUCGGCAAGGGGGUCAUCCCGACUUACCAACCCGAUGCAAACUGCGAAUACCGGAGAAUGUUAUCACGGGAGACACACGGCGGGUGCUAACGUCCGUCGUGAAGAGGGAAACAACCCAGACCGCC